UGGUACGCCCUACUGGAUUCGAACCAGUGACCUACGGCUUAGAAGGCCGUUGCUCUAUCCAGCUGAGCUAAGGGCGC
rnacentral:tRNA from 1 species